UCCCCCGUAAUUUUAUACAUUUUAGUUAUAUAUUUUAACGAAUAUUUAAUAUAUUUAAUGUAUAUUUAAACAUAAAUUACGGAUUUUAGAAACGAAUAUGUAAUUGAAAUGUAAUUAUUUUAUUUCAUUUGGAAUACUUUUAAAUGGUUUAUGAAAUCAAAAUGUAUUUUCGAGUUUUACUUUAAAACGAGUUCGAAUUGCAAAACCACGUUCUAUUGAAAUUAGAAAACAAGUCCUAACCCAUGGUGGAUUCAUCAACCUAAAUCCUACUCCUAGCCCAAUUGGGCAAAGCCCAAACAAAAAAAUAAAACCCUUCUCUUCUCUAUUCUUCACGUGAAAACCAAAAAAAAAAAAAAAGGAGAGAAAGCCCUCCUUCAACCUCACGCAACUCAGCUCUUUUUCCCUCCCGCUGCUCGCCGCCCAGCCGACCACCAUCAACGCAACCAGUGACUCAAGGCCCGACCACCGCACGCAACCGUGCUCAGCCCUGCCGCGAGCCACCGCUGUCCGCCGGCCAGCACCCCCCUUAAACUCUUGAAUUGGCGGAGAAUUCUCUUUAGGCGACUUUUGAAAGUGUUAAGGUGGCCUAUCAGUUUGUUUACACAAGUCUCUAAGGAUCAAUAAGCAUUGUCCAUCUGCAGGUUUGAAGAUGAUGCAUCAUUGGGAUCGGGAUUAGAGAGCUCGUAGUUAUAUUUGUUUUAUUAAGUGAUUUGGUUUGUUAACUUAGAUUUGAAAGUUGUCGUACUAUUCGUAUUUCCUUAUUUCCGUUAAUUGGUUUUGGACU